rfam:Oryzias latipes DNA, ultracontig178, strain: Hd-rR.
GGCACUGGUAAUGGCAUUCCUGCUUUAGCAGGUUGGGGUUCGAUUCCCUACGGUGUC